rnacentral:rRNA from 1 species
CCGCAUGAUGCCUACGGGCCAAUGAGGCCGACCUUCGGGCCUCUCGCGUCAGGAUAUGCCUAGGUGGGAUUAGCUAGUUGGUGAGGUAAGGGCUCACCAAGGCGACGAUCCCUAGCUGGUCUGAGAGGAUGAUCAGCCACACUGGAACUGAGACACGGUCCAGACUCCUACGGGAGGCAGCAGUGGGGAAUAUUGCACAAUGGGCGCAAGCCUGAUGCAGCCAUGCCGCGUGUGUGAAGAAGGCCUUCGGGUUGUAAAGCACUUUCAGUCGUGAGGAAGGUAGUGUAGUUAAUAGCUGCAUUAUUUGACGUUAGCGACAGAAGAAGCACCGGCUAACUCCGUGGCAGCAGCCGCGGUAAUACGGAGGGUGCGAGCGUUAAUCGGAAUUACUGGGCGUAUAGCGCAUGCAGGUGGUUUGUUAAGUCAGAUGUCAAAGCCCGGGGCUCAACCUCGGAUUAGCAUUUGAAACUGGCAGACUAGAGUACUGUAGAGGGGGGUAGAAUUUCAGGUGUAGCGGUGAAAUGCGUAGAGAUCUGAAGGAAUACCGGUGGCGAAGGCGGCGGCCUGGACAGAUACUGACACUCAGAUGCGAAAGCGUGGGCAGCAAACAGGAUUAGAUACCCUGGUAGUCCACGCCGUAAACGAUGUCUACUUGGAGGUUGUGGCCUUGAGCCGUGGCUUUCGGAGCUAACG